ACAAAAGCUUUCUGCAUUGUCCUGUAGGCAUUUCCCAGGAGUCAAACAGCGUGUUAGUUCAAGCACAAUCAGACAGCAGUGACAUCUACAGCACAUGCAGCAAGGAGCUCAGCUCCGAGAACACCCAGACUCCAGCAUGGAUUUUAUGUCACGAUCAGAAGUGGGCAACGCUCUCUGCCAGGGCUAUCUGAAUCCAGCCCCAAUGUUCGGCCGUGCAUCUUCCCUUGCCGAGAAUGUUAAAUGGGAGGUCUGAAGAAAUGCAAGGAGGGGUUGUGAGAUGGGAAAGUCGUUUGGAAGCACAAAUAAGGCUGGUUCAGAGGGGAAAAGAAAUAAGGGUAUUUUCUAGUUAAAGUUGUGCUGGGGAAGGGUAGCUCUGACUGACACCUCCGUCCUUGCGCUGACACAAGCACCCCGCAUCAAACCCCAGCACUUACCCGAACAGGACCUGGCCUUGCUCCGUGGCUUGGGAGUGAAGCUGGAUGCAGGGCCCCCCAGGAAGCUGCCAGGGUGGAAGAGGCUG